rnacentral:rRNA from 1 species
AUUGAACGCUGGCGGCAGGCCUAACACAUGCAAGUCGAGCGGUAGCACAGAGAGCUUGCUCUCGGGUGACGAGCGGCGGACGGGUGAGUAAUGUCUGGGAAACUGCCUGAUGGAGGGGGAUAACUACUGGAAACGGUAGCUAAUACCGCAUAAUGUCGCAAGACCAAAGAGGGGGACCUUCGGGCCUCUUGCCAUCAGAUGUGCCCAGAUGGGAUUAGCUAGUAGGUGGGGUAAUGGCUCACCUAGGCGACGAUCCCUAGCUGGUCUGAGAGGAUGACCAGCCACACUGGAACUGAGACACGGUCCAGACUCCUACGGGAGGCAGCAGUGGGGAAUAUUGCACAAUGGGCGCAAGCCUGAUGCAGCCAUGCCGCGUGUGUGAAGAAGGCCUUCGGGUUGUAAAGCACUUUCAGCGAGGAGGAAGGCAUUAAGGUUAAUAACCUUAGUGAUUGACGUUACUCGCAGAAGAAGCACCGGCUAACUCCGUGCCAGCCGCCGCGGUAA